CGUGGGCUCAGUGGGUCCGACACUCAGAGUGGCAGUGAGGGGCUUAGCACCCAGGCCAGCACCUGUGGAGGGUGCACUGGGUCCCACAGCACUGCCGGCCCAUCCACACCACACUCAAAUUCUUGCCAGGCCUCAGCCACCUCCCCACAGGGCAGGGCUCGGGACCUGCAGCCCACCAUGCCCAAGGCAUGCUCCCCAGCACUGUGGGCUCCCUCACGGCCCA
rnacentral:lncRNA from 1 species